CCAGCAGCCGCGGUAAUUCCAGCUCCAAUAGCGUAUAUUAAAGUUGUUGCGGUUAAAAAGCUCGUAGUUGGAUUUCUGCCGAGGACGACCAGUCCGCCCACUGGGUGUGCAUCUGGCUCGGCCUGGGCAUCUUCUUGGAGAACGUAUCUGCACUUCACUGUGUGGUGCGGUAUCCAGGACUUUUACUUUGAGGAAAUUAGAGUGUUUAAAGCAGGCUUACGCUUGAAUACAUUAGCAUGGAAUAAUGGAAUAGGACUUUGGUUCUAUUUUGUUGGUUUCUAGGACCAAAGUAAUGAUGAAUAGGGAUAGUUGGGGGCAUUAGUAUUGAGCUGUCAGAGGUGAAAUUCUUGGAUUUGCUCAAGACUAACAACUGCGAAAGCAUUUGCCAAGGAUGUUUUCAUUGAUCAAGAACGAAAGU
rnacentral:rRNA from 1 species